GAGCUCAUUGAUCAUCAUAACAGAGUCUAUUGAAAGUCCUCAGCAGGCGGUGUGACGAUGUGACCAGCUCUGGCCAAGGAGCUGUAGGCAGAAGUGUCUUGCAGCAGCUCCUGUAAAUCUUAAAAGACAGCUGGUGCGUGUCUUUUUUCCUUUUUUUUUCCCUUCCCCCUUCCUGCUGCGCUGAAUAUGGAUAUGGUGAGUGAAUCUAGAGCAGCCAUUUGGAGGUAUGAAGAGAUCUUGGAAAUAGAGGCCAUGUGUGUUGAAACAAGACCGAACAACUCCAAGUUCCUGAAGACUUCAUUUCACCAACCCAGAACCUCCUUGAUCAUCACAGUGUUCAAAUGGUUUCCAGCAACAUUCCUACCACCUACUUUGCUGACACAAAGGUGCAUAAACAGAAGUCCUAUGUGGUCGAACCAUUUUACAUUUUCACCAGCAAUGAAGGAGGGUUCCUGUUGCUCUACCAUUUGGUACUGUCAGCGUUUUGGAUAUUAGCCGUCCUAAUAGCCUUUGCAUGGAUGAUUGUCUGUCCUCUGUUGGGCCCCUUCUGAAGAGUUGGAGUUGGCUUUAUACAAUUAUUCCCAAAUCUUCUAAACUGACAGUGAGGGAGAGUAAUUUGAAAGGACUGCUCAACUCAACGUCAUUUGAAGAUUUGCACCACAGCUGCAUUUUUCCAAUUUCCUGGCAUCUAUUCUGCUCUCCUGGACUUUUCAAAAACAAUUGUAAGUGGAUGAAUAAAUAUAAUAACUGAUUCCAUUGAUACUCUUAGACCAUCCUUUGGACUUUCUGCUUUUGGACAUUUUACAGUUUAAAAUUUAUUUAUCAUCUAUCGAUGUUUCCCAAAGAAGGACUCAAAGUACACAUUGUCAAAGAUCUCAUGGAUCUAAUUAAGGACAGGGAACAGGUACAGAAUCAUACAUUGUCUCUACACAGAGGGGAUAAUUUCUGAAGGAAAGAAGAAAGUAAAUUCCUUAAUCACCCUUAUGAUUAUAACUACACAAUUGAAUUUGUUUACUUCAUCAGCUUUGGGAAUAAAGUAAGGUCCUACACUUUUCAAUUUUUCAAAGAA
rnacentral:lncRNA from 10 species